UACGUAGGGUGCAAGCGUUGUCCGGAAUUAUUGGGCGUAAAGAGCUCGUAGGCGGUUUGUCGCGUCUGCUGUGAAAACUCGGGGCUUAACCCCGGGCCUGCAGUGGGUACGGGCAGACUAGAGUGCGGUAGGGGAGACUGGAAUUCCUGGUGUAGCGGUGAAAUGCGCAGAUAUCAGGAGGAACACCGGUGGCGAAGGCGGGUCUCUGGGCCGGAACUGACGCUGAGGAGCGAAAGCGUGGGUAGCAAACAGG
rnacentral:rRNA from 1 species